rnacentral:misc_RNA from 1 species
GACUCUGGUAGUGAGUCAUCUAGG